UACGUAGGGUGCAAGCGUUAUCCGGAAUUAUUGGGCGUAAAGAGCUCGUAGGCGGUUUGUCGCGUCUGCUGUGAAAACCGGAGGCUCAACCUCCGGCCUGCAGUGGGUACGGGCAAACUAGAGUGCGGUAGGGGAGAUUGGAAUUCCUGGUGUAGCGGUGGAACGCGCAGAUAUCAGGAGGAACACCGAUGGCGAAGGCAGAUCUCUGGGCCGUAACUGACGCUGAGGAGCGAAAGCGUGGGGAGCAAACAGG
rnacentral:rRNA from 1 species